rnacentral:lncRNA from 1 species
CACAAACAGUCCUAGAGGGUCCUGCAGAGCAUUGGUGACAACUUCUUGACACAGGUGGUGGAGGAGCCAACAAGGAGAGGUGUGCUGCUGGACCUCGUACUAACAAACAAAGAAGGACUGGUGGAAGAUGCCAAGGUCGGGGGCAGCCUUGGCUGCAGUGACCAUGAGAUGGUGGAGUUCAGGAUCCUGCGAGGAGGCAGCAGGGCACCAAGUAGGAUCGCAACCCUGGACUUCAGGAGAGCAAACUUUGGCCUCUUCAGGGACCUACUUGGAGUAAUCCCAUGGGUGAGGGCCCUAGAAGGAAGGAGUGUUCAAGAGAGCUGGUUAAUAUUCAAACAUCACUUCCUCCAGGCUCAAGAGCGGUGCAUCCCUAGGAGUAGGAAGUCAAGCAAAGGAGGCAGGAGACCUGCAUGGAUGAGCAAGGAGCUCCUGGCAAAACUCAACCAGAAGAAGGAAGUAUACAGAAAGUGGAAAGGGGGACAGGCCACUUGGGAGGAAUAUAGGAACGUUGUCAGAGUAUGCAGGGAUGCGACGAGGAAGGCUAAGGCCCGUUUGGAAUUAAAUCUGGCGAGAGAUGUCAAGGACAACAAGAAGGGCUUCUUCAAAUACAUCAGUAGCAAGAGGAAGACUAGGGAAAAUGUGGGGCCUUUGCUGAAUGGGGUGGGUGCCCUGGUGAUGAAGGAUGCAGAGAAGGCAGAGUUACUGAAUGCCUUCUUUGCUUCAGUCUUUACUGCUCAGGCCAGCCCUCAGGAACCCCAGACCCUGGAGGCAAGAGAGAAAGUCUGGAGAGAGGAAGACUUUCCCUUGGUGGAGGAGGAGUGGGUUAGAGAUCAUUUAAGCAAACUUGACACCCACAAAUCCAUGGGCCCUGAUGGGAUGCACCCACGAGUGCUGAGGGAGCUGGCGGACGUUAUUGCUAAGCCACUCUCCAUCAUCUUUGAAAGGUCAUGGAGGACAGGAGAGGUGCCUGAGGACUGGAAGAAAGCCAGUGUCACCCCAGUCUUCAAAAAGGGCAAGAAGGAGGACCCAGGGAACUACAGGCCAGUCAGCCUCACCUGCAUCCCUGGAAAGGUGAUGGAGCAGCUCAUCCUGGAGGCCAUCUCCAAGCAUGUGGAGGAAA